rnacentral:rRNA from 1 species
AGAGUGAACGCUGGCGGCAGGCCUAACACAUGCAAGUCGAACGGCAGCACAGGGGAGCUUGCUCCCUGGGUGGCGAGUGGCGGACGGGUGAGGAAAACGUCGGAAUCUGCCUAUUUGUGGGGGAUAACGUAGGGAAACUUACGCUAAUACCGCAUACGACCUACGGGUGAAAGCGGAGGACCUUCGGGCUUCGCGCAGAUAGAUGAGCCGACGUCGGAUUAGCUAGUUGGCGGGGUAAAGGCCCACCAAGGCGACGAUCCGUAGCUGGUCUGAGAGGAUGAUCAGCCACACUGGAACUGAGACACGGUCCAGACUCCUACGGGAGGCAGCAGUGGGGAAUAUUGGGCAAUGGGCGCAAGCCUGAUCCAGCCAUGCCGCGUGCGUGAAGAAGGCUUGGUGUAAGCAGUUUGUACGAAAGAAAGCGAACCGGUUAAUACCCUAGGUGUCGAUGACGGUACGAAAGAAUAAGCACCGCUAACGUCGUACGCCAGCAGCCG